CUCCAUGAACUCCCUUUCCCUAUUCCCAUCUCUUGUCACAUACAUGUUUUGCACAAGAAACAAAACAUGGGAGAAAUGAAGACCAAAUCACCACCAGGCCUUACUGAUGAGAGACUUGAUGUACUUUUUCAAGAAAUUCAGGAACCAGCAAAUGAAAGAGGACCGAGUCUCAGAAGACUGUUCCUUUGAGGCUCAGGAACAAAAGGGAAAGAGAGCAAAGCAAACGGGCAAGAAAUCAAGAAAGAAGCACUAAACUCCAAAGCCGAAUGUUCACAGUUAACUGCCAACUCAAGAUCAAUCAGGAAAGAAUGUUAAACAUUGCUGAAAUUACAGGGGUUUCCCAUGGCCUCAGAAGACAUACACAAAAUGCAGCACAAGACAACAUGAGAGCAGAAAAGCAUCAUGUCUGGAGAAAUCGAUUAAGAGCUUGAGACAUGUCCUGCCACUAACAAGCUGGGUGGCAAAAUUGGUUCUUCACACCCUCUCAGCAUUUUGGUUUUUUACUGUAAGAUGAAGAUGAUGAUGCCAAUCUCAGAGGGCUGUAGUGAGAAUCAAGUGUGAUAAUAUAUGGUCAUGUUUA